GUCUGGUCCAAAAGUAGUGAAUUAUCUCAGUUUGAUUGUUCAGUCAGUUACAGACCAAACUCCUUGUUCGACUCUUCACCCCUUCUCACUACUGCACUUGAUGGACGGAU
ensembl:misc_RNA Y_RNA Y RNA